rnacentral:rRNA from 1 species
UACGUAAGGGGCUAGCGUUAUCCGGAAUUACUGGGCGUAAAGCGCGCGUAGGCGGUUUGAUAAGUGGGAUGUGAAAGCCCCGGGCUCAACCUGGGAACUGCGCUUAAGACUGGAGGACUAGAAAACGGAAGAGGGUAGUGGAAUUCCCAGUGUAGAGGUGAAAUUCGUAGAUAUUGGGAAGAACACCAGUGGCGAAAGCGGCUACCUGGUCCGAUUUUGACGCUGAGGCGCGAAAGCGUGGGGAGCAAACAGG